CGAACGCUGGCGGCGUGCCUAAUACAUGCAAGUCGAGCGGAGUUCAUUUGAAAGCUUGCUUUCAAAUGAACUUAGCGGCGGACGGGUGAGUAACACGUAGGCAACCUGCCCUUUAGUCUGGGAUAACUACCGGAAACGGUAGCUAAUACCGGAUAAUUCCUUUUGGCUCCUGCCGGAGGGAUGAAAGACGGAGCAAUCUGUCACUAAGGGAUGGGCCUGCGGCGCAUUAGCUAGUUGGUGAGGUAACGGCUCACCAAGGCGACGAUGCGUAGCCGACCUGAGAGGGUGAACGGCCACACUGGGACUGAGACACGGCCCAGACUCCUACGGGAGGCAGCAGUAGGGAAUCUUCCGCAAUGGGCGAAAGCCUGACGGAGCAACGCCGCGUGAGUGAUGAAGGUUUUCGGAUCGUAAAGCUCUGUUGCCAGGGAAGAACGUCCGGUAGAGUAACUGCUAUCGGAGUGACGGUACCUGAGAAGAAAGCCCCCCCUAACUACGUGCCA
rnacentral:rRNA from 1 species